UACAGAGGGUGCGAGCGUUGUCCGGAAUCACUGGGCGUAAAGGGCGCGUAGGUGGCGACCCAAGUCGAUGGUGAAAGCUCGCCGCUCAACGGCGAGUCGGCCACCGAUACUGGGUUGCUGGAGCACUGUAGAGGCAGAUGGAAUUCCGGGUGUAGCGGUGGAAUGCGUAGAGAUCCGGAAGAACACCGGCGGCGAAGGCGGUCUGCUGGGCUGACACUGACGCUGAGGCGCGAAAGCCAGGGGAGCAAACGGG
rnacentral:rRNA from 1 species